CUUCAAAGUAAUAAUUUUGGUAGCCUAACGAAUAAACUACAAAUUAAAUUACACAUUUUUUUAACUUGACAAACAUAUUUAAGAAUGGAAAAUAUAUAUUGUGGCGCAUCCAAAGAAACAAAACAAGAACAGUUACCAAAAUGUGAAUAAAAAUAUAAGCCUUGCAAUUACAACUUGAGGCAGCAGCUAUCAAUAUUAUAAUAACUAUGAUAACGAUCCAUAUAACGUCACGCAAAAUGAUCAUGGAAGCCACAAUGUAUUCAUGCUUUCCGAACUUGUGACGUGUCUUAUCGCGAACUAUUAGAUCAAUAUCCAGCACCACUACCAUUAUCAAAAUGAGCACUACGGAGAAGCUAACCAAUAUGAGAAACCAGUAAUACUUGAAAAAAAAACCUAGAAGGAUGGCAUGUAUUAUGACAACUAAUCCGGCUGCAACGAGGUAGGCUAACGGAAUUUUAUGGCCGAUCUGGCAGCGAACGAAUCUCGAAUAUACGACCAUAGCCAAAAUCACAAACGCCAGAAUUCCGCAAGGUAUCAAAGUCUGGUUCGGGUUAGAACUAAUCAAAAUUAAGAAUAUAGAAAGCGAACCAAGGACUUACCACCCACGGUUCAAACCAAACUGACACCGCGGUUAGUAAGAUGGUAUGGACAAUGAUCCAUAUAAUGAAGAAUAUAAUCUUGACGGGCCUUUUUUGGAGAAGUUUCAUUGCGAAGCACAAGAAGGCCUGAACUACUAUAAAAGCAAUAAUGGCUGGAAUGGCAAAGACGUACGAUGUACCGGCAAUAUACGAGUGGGCCGGUGGGUAGCACAGGAAGAUGAACGUUGGAAUGAGGUUAAAUCUGUAUGACGGGAAAUGCCCGGAAACUGAAUCGACAAACAAUGAAACAAUGGCUUUAUUAUAUGUAUUUUUAAUAAAUCUAUCAAUCCAAUAAGGUAAAGUGGAAAGGGAAAUAUAAUGUCACUGUAGAGGAACAUGGCAGCUAAUACGAAAUCCUCUUCCUUAAACUGGUUCUCGUUGGUUUUGCCGCUAAUCAACAAUAAUAAAUAAUGCCGCUUACAAAUUUAGGAUGAUAUCGUAAGUAUUUCCAAGGGGAAUACCGGAAGGGGCUGAUACAAAAGCACAUCAUCAUAGAAAUUGUGAUUAUAACAACCAUAGCGACAUGCCCAAUAUACCUGUGUCUUAAUAAGAAACUUCUUGCUUUCAUGUGGAAAACAAAAAAGGUUAUUAGCAUUACGGUGAAAAUCAAGUUGAUCUGCGAUGGACCAGAUAUCCAGAUGUUUGACUGACAUGAAAUUAGUUACAAAAAUGUUUGACUGCUUACAUCAUGAACUUAAGUUUUUUAUUAUUAUUUAAUUUAUAUUAUUUCACAUAAAUUUAAAUGAAAACAUUCCUAGUCAUCAUCUAUCCAACCCGCGAGUUGUAGAAUGAACAUGAAUAGAUGUACGACGUCAUGGAAAAGGAUCAUCGAAGCAAUAAUAAAAUCUAAUUCGUCGUACUGAUACUUGUGAAUUUUGCCGCCUACAAUCAAUUGAAGGUCAUAAACUAUAAAUAUAGAAUAAACGAUCACGCCAAAUGCUAUAUACACAAUCCAGAGACUCCUGAUAAAGAUGGCUAGUAUGCCCAGAGCUAAUAAGGCAAGACCUAAGAUGAAUAUUAAUGUGUAACACGAGGUGAAGUCGCAGGGUGCGAAUCUUGCGAAGAGAUAAAGACAGGCGACCAGGACGGCGCAUAUUGCGAAGGCAAUUAAAACCUGCAAGAAGAAAGUCGAAUUAAGAUUUGUCGAUAUAUCAUUGAUUACUGACCUACCAGAAGCGGACGAUAAUGUACGGCAAGGCAGGACACAAUGACGGCAUGACAUAUGACGUAUAUUACCAGCAAAAUCCAUUUAAUCGGCGACUUUCGGAAAACACCUGGGCAGUAGCACAUCACAAUAUGAAUUAUAAAUAUGAUAGCAAUUGCUGGGAUUGGAAUCCACCAGUUAAUAAUUAAAAAUCGCCUAAUAGGCCUUGUCAUGAUACAUAUCGUCAUUGCCAAUGAUGUAAAGGUCAAGUUGAUCUGCAAAAGGUAAUCGGAUAAGACGAACAAAUGGUAAACGUGUAAUAGUCUAUACUCACGGCCACUAUCGUGAGGACCUUGGUGACAAACCUCCGACGCACGGCCGGAUCUUCAAACACGUUGUGCUCAUAAAUCCUCUUCUUGUUACACAUUUUAUCAAAUCCAAAAGACCGUGGUAGUGUAUAUGUAUAGAGUGUUUGUGUAUACGUGUGUUAGGUGUGUUUUAUAGUAAUAUGACAGGAAACUCUUGGAACUAAAGUUGGAAAAGUAUCUUUCAAAGAAAGAUACACCAGACUGUUGUGACAAAAUUUUAAUUAAUGUAUUAUUACUUAAAACUAAUAUUAAUAUUAUUGCAUAAUGAUAAUUACUUGAAAUGAUGCAAGUGACUUAACCAUUAUUUGAUAUAAUUGAUUAUAUAAAGUUACAUGGAAAAUGUACAAGGAAAAGUGUUACCCACAAUUCUAAUUUGAAAGCUGUGAAUAAACUCAGGUUACCUUUGCGAGUUAUAUCAACAUAUAAAACACAGUUUUAUCCGCAUAGUUUCACUUUAAUUUAAACGACAUUGUUACUAGUCCUCAUCUAUCAAACCCGCGAUCUCUAGUAUGAACAUAAAGAGGUAUGCGACGUCAUGGAAAAGGGUCAUGGCAGCAAUAAUAUAAUCUGAUUCGUCGUACUGUUCCUUGUGAAUUUGGCCGCCUACAAUCAACUGAAGGUCAUAAACUAUAAAUGUAGAGUAUGCGAUCACGGCAAAGCCUAAAUAUACCACAUAGACACUUCUUAGAUAGAGAGCUAAAAUGCUCAGAGCUAACACGGUAAUACCGAAGAUGAAAAUUAAUGUGUAGCAAGCAGUGAAAUCGCAGGGUGCAAACCUUGCGAAGACACAAAGACAUGCGACCAGGAUGGCACAUAAUCCAAAGCCCAUUAAAACCUGCAAAAAUAAAGACGAUUAAGGAUUCGGCGAUAUGUCAAUGGCUUACCAAAAGAGGACGAAAUAGAACUGCAAGGCAGGACACUAAAACAGCAUGACAUAUGACGUAUACUACCAACAACACCCAGUUAAGGGGCGACUUUCGGAAGAGCGAUUGGAAGCAGCACAUCAUAAUAUGAAUUAUAAAUAUGAUGACAGCGGCGGGGAUCCAAAUCCACAAGUUAAUUUGUAAAAAACUCCUAAUAGGUCCUACCAAUAUACAAAUCAUCAUUACCAGUGUGGUAAAGGUCAAGUUGAUCUACAUAUGGCAAUCGGAUUAGUUUGUUUUACAAAAUACGUAUAGUAGUCUAUACCCACGCCCACUAUCGCAAGGACCUUAGUGGCAAACAUCCGACGGACGGCCGGAUCUUCAAACACGUUGGUCUCAUAUCUCUUCUUCCUGUUACACAUUUUACCAAGUCCAAAAGAUCGUGGAUGUGUACACGUAUACAUGUAUCAGUGUGUUUAUAUAAUGACUUGACAGGAAACCCUAAUGACCUUAGUUGGAAGAGCAUCUUUCAAAGAAAGAUACACCAGCCUAAAUGAUAACAUAAAGGAUACAUAGAAAAUGCACAUGAAAUACGAAUUCCUAUAUUUUCUAUUUGAAAGCUAUGAAUAAAAGCAGGUCACCUAUGAGAGCUCUAUCAACAUUUCCAAUAUUUUUUUAUCCGCAUUUAUUCACUUUAAUUUAGAUGACAAUUUUACUAGUUUUCAUCUAUCCAACCAGCGAGUCGCAGUAUGAACAUAAAGAGGUGUACUACAUCAUGGAAAAGGGUCAUGGAAGCAAUAAUAUAAUCUAAUUCAUCGUACUGCCUUUUGUGAAGUUUGCCGCCUAUAAUCAACUGAAGGUCAUAAACUAUGAAUAUAGUAUAGGCGAAUACGCCGAAGGCCAAAUAUACCACCCGAACACUUCUGAAAAAAAAUGCUAAUAUGCCCAAAAGAAUCAGGGUAACACCAAUCAACAUAAUGAAUGUGUAGCACGAGGUAAAAUCGCAAGGUGCGAAUCUUGCGAAUAUACACAAUGCCGCGACUAGGACAGCACAUACUCCGAAGGCCAGCAAAACCUGCAAGAAGAAAGAUGAGUAAAGUUUCGGCUUUAUAUCACCGGAACCUGGCUUACCAGGAGAGGAGAAAAUUUAACUGCAAGGAAGCAAACCAACACCGCAUGGCAUAUGACAUAUAUUACCAGCAAAAUCCAUUUGAUAGGGGACUGUCGAAAGAGGUAGCGGCAGCAACACAUCAUAAUGUGAAUUGCGAAUAUGAUGAUCGUGGCGGCGAGACCAAUAUACCAGUGUGUUUGUAUAAAUUGCUUGACGGACCGCGUCGUUAUGGCAAUCGCCAUGGCCCCUGAUGUAAAAGCCAAGUUAAUCUGCAAUAGGCGAUCGGAUUAAUAGCAUCGAUCUGAACUCGUAUUGACUCCAAACUCACGGCCACUAUUAAAAGGACCUUGGUGACAAACAUCCGACGGACCCGCGGAUCUUCGAAGAUAUCUUCUUCCAACGUCUCCCUCCUGUCAAACUUGCAACACCGCAUUUUAUCGAGUUCCUAAUAUCGUGGAGGUGUAUAUAUACGUAUAUUUGUGUGCUUAUAUAUUGUGU